AUUGAACGCUGGCGGCAGGCCUAACACAUGCAAGUCGAACGGUAACAGGAAGCAGCUUGCUGCUUUGCUGACGAGUGGCGGACGGGUGAGUAAUGUCUGGGAAACUGCCUGAUGGAGGGGGAUAACUACUGGAAACGGUAGCUAAUACCGCAUAACGUCGCAAGACCAAAGAGGGGGACCUUCGGGCCUCUUGCCAUCGGAUGUGCCCAGAUGGGAUUAGCUAGUAGGUGGGGUAACGGCUCACCUAGGCGACGAUCCCUAGCUGGUCUGAGAGGGUGACCAGCCACACUGGAACUGAGACACGGUCCAGACUCCUACGGGAGGCAGCAGUGGGGAAUAUUGCGCAAUGGGCGCAAGCCUGAUGCAGCCAUGCCGCGUGUAUGAAGAAGGCCUUCGGGUUGUAAAGUACUUUCAGCGGGGAGGAAGGGAGUAAAGUUAAUACCUUUGCUCAUUGACGUUACCCGCAGAAGAAGCACCGGCUAACUCCGUG
rnacentral:rRNA from 1 species